rnacentral:rRNA from 1 species
UACGUAGGGUGCGAGCGUUAAUCGGAAUUACUGGGCGUAAAGCGUGCGCAGGCGGUUCGUUGUGUCGGUGGUGAAAUCCCCGGGCUUAACCUGGGAAUGGCCAUGGAAACUGGCGAACUGGAGUGCGGCAGAGGGGGGUGGAAUUCCGCGUGUAGCAGUGAAAUGCGUAGAGAUGUGGAGGAACACCGAUGGCGAAGGCAGCCCCCUGGGUCAAAACUGACGCUCAUGCACGAAAGCGUGGGGAGCAAACAGG